rfam:Stegodyphus mimosarum contig32507, whole genome shotgun sequence.
GCCUUUGCGGUGCAGUGGUCAGGACACUCGACGCGUAACCGAGAGGUCCGUGGUUCGAGUCCCGGUGAAGGCG